rnacentral:lncRNA from 13 species
CAGGAAGCAUUUGUCAAAUAUGAAAUGGUAUUUGGUUUUCUGUGUUUGGUUUUAUUUGGGCUGUAUUUGUACAAAUAUGUUAUUGGCAUGUGUUCCAAAAUUAUGGGAAACUCCUGUAAUUCUGAUAUAACCUAGUGUACAUUAUCAGUAAUAAUCAUAAUUGUUAUGUUAAAAUCAUUGGGUGCAGAAGAGGUAACAAAUAUCCUUGUCAGUUGUAUCUAUUAAAUAUGACUGCCUUAAAACAUUUUUUUCAUCCAUGGUCCAUUUUCUUGUUUUGGUCCUCAUUAGAAGGGGGUUUAAUAAUCAGCUUUAAAACUCAAACAGGUGCUCUUCAAUGCAGGUUUCUGAUAACUUUGGAGAUUGUGACAUCAGAAUAGAGGAAUAACUUUCAGGACCCCUGAAGAGUAAAAUAUUCAUGAUUAUCAAGCAGAACAGGCAUGAACUGCAUGGACUGAACAAAUCUUUUUGACUUUUUGCUUAAAAUGUUUGCUGAUCCUUCGUUUUGUUUUUCAGAGUCUUAAAACUUUUCUUUCAAGCUAAUGACAGCCUUUAACAGUUUAGUAUACUCCUAUGAACAAAAUAUGGAGCAUAUUUGUUUCUUUCUACUGAGUUCUCCAGAAUUUGGAAACUAUCUAGUUUUGCUCUGUCACACAGGCUGGAAUGCAUUGGCACCAUCUUGGCCCACCACAACCUCUGCCUCCUGGGUUCAAGCAAUUCUCCUGCCUCAGCCUCCCAAGUAGCUGAGAUUACAGAGCAAAGGAACCAAGUAAGACAGUGGUUCUCAACCAGGGUAAUUUUCUCACGAACAGGACAUUUGACAAUAUCUGGAGACAUUGUCCUCACUGGGAAGGGGUCCUACUGGCAUUUAAUGGAUAAAACCCAGGCAUGCUGUUGUUGAACAUCCUCCAAUGCACAGGAAUGCACCCCAAAACAGAGGUUAUCCAGCCCCAAAUUCAAUCAUGCUGAAGUUGAAAAACUCUGCUCAAGGGAAACUCUAACUCUAGCCAAAAAGGAACACUGAUUAAUGAAACAAAAGUGAGAAGACUUCUUAAUGGGUUUUGAAAUGAAAAUUGUGAAUAAAAUAAACAAUUAUACUUACUAAGAUCUACUA